rnacentral:rRNA from 1 species
GAUGAACGCUGGCGGCGUGCUUAACACAUGCAAGUCGAACGAAGCAUUUAGAACAGAUUACUUCGGUUUGAAGUUCUUUAUGACUGAGUGGCGGACGGGUGAGUAACGCGUGGGUAACCUGCCUUGUACUGGGGGAUAGCAGCUGGAAACGGCUGGUAAUACCGCAUAAGCGCACAAUGUUGCAUGACAUGGUGUGAAAAACUCCGGUGGUAUAAGAUGGACCCGCGUCUGAUUAGCUAGUUGGUGAGGUAACAGCCCACCAAGGCGACGAUCAGUAGCCGACCUGAGAGGGUGACCGGCCACAUUGGGACUGAGACACGGCCCAGACUCCUACGGGAGGCAGCAGUGGGGAAUAUUGCACAAUGGAGGAAACUCUGAUGCAGCGACGCCGCGUGAGUGAAGAAGUAAUUCGUUAUGUAAAGCUCUAUCAGCAGGGAAGAUAGUGACGGUACCUGACUAAGAAGCUCCGGCUAAAUACGUG